rnacentral:sRNA from 1 species
AAAUACUUCACACGUAUACCGACACAUUUCACUGGGUGCCCAAUUAAAAAAGGGUUGUGAGAUGGGGUAUGCGGAGGCUUAAC